rnacentral:rRNA from 1 species
UACGUAGGGGGCAAGCGUUGUCCGGAUUUAUUGGGCGUAAAGAGCGUGUAGGCGGCCUGGUAGGUCAGCUGUGAAAACUCGAGGCUCAACCUCGAGACGCCGGUUGAAACCAUCUGGCUAGAGUCCGGGAGAGGAGAGUGGAAUUCCUGGUGUAGCGGUGAAAUGCGCAGAUAUCAGGAAGAACACCCGUGGCGAAAGCGGCUCUCUGGAACGGUACUGACGCUGAGACGCGAAAGCGUGGGGAGCGAACAGG